rnacentral:lncRNA from 1 species
GUCAGUGACAGUUUAUAGGUUAGAUCAUAUUCUUUCUAAUACCCUGUGUAUGUGCCUGUGUUUCUAGAACUCUCUUACUCUGAUGACAUAAUCCUUUGGAUUGGAGAAUGCCCUAAUAUGUUUUACAAUUUGGGCAGGCUCUGGACUUUUUCACCUUUAGGCUCUAGGAGGCCGUGAAAGAACAAGUCAUGGUUAUUAAGCUAGGCAACUGCUUUUAAGCAUCUGUGUCUGCAGCCAUUGUACCUCAGCCUCUUGGGGCCAAGCAGGGCCCAUAUGUGUGCUUUGUGUGAAACAGCUCCCUGAAGCAGUUUUUGAAGCAGCAUGGGAGUGGAGGAGUCAUGAAGGCUGGUUCUACCCCAUGGUAUCACAGUGGUCAGGUGGGGAUAUUGACUUUGUGUGAGAUGCUUUUUAAUUCCAUAUGG